GCGCCCAUAGCUCAAUUUGAUAGAGUGUUUGAAUACGGUUGGAAAGGUUAGGGGUUCGACUCCUUUUGGGUGCG
rnacentral:tRNA from 1 species